AGAAUGAGUUGGUCGUAUCCUGAGGAAUGCUUCAAUAAUGACUCUGCCCGUAGGCCAAUCGGUUCUAAUGGAUAACGGAUUUAUUACAAGGAUGAUAACUGUUGUGCUCGGAUGACCGCGCUGGAGAUUGUUGAUAGUUUUAGAUUUAACGCGCGGAAGGAGUAUAUUGUAUCCUGAGAAAUGCUUCAAUUAUGGCUCGGCCUGUAGGCCAAUCGGUUCUAAUGGAUAACAGAUUUAUUACAAAGCAAUUACAAUAAAAAUAUUGUAGAUUAUAUAAUAUAUUAUGGUAAUGGCUGUAUUAAAUUUUAAUU